rnacentral:pre_miRNA from 1 species
AGCAUAUAUUGGACAAUGUAUGAAUCGGGUUUCGCGAUAAACGCACGUUAUAAAUGAAAAUCAGUUCGUUGUCGACGAAACCUUUACGUUACAUUGUCAAAACAUCAA